GCCCGGUUAGCUCAGUCGGUAGAGCAUGGGACUUUUAAUCCCAGGGUCGCGGGUUCAAGUCCCUCAUCGGGCG
rnacentral:tRNA from 1 species